UACAGUUUUUUUUUUUUUUUUUUUUUUUUUUUUUCACU
rnacentral:ribozyme from 1 species